rnacentral:rRNA from 1 species
UACGGAGGGUGCAAGCAUUAAUCGGAUUUAUUGGGCGUAAAGGGCGCGUAGGCGGCUUGGCAAGUGGAUGGUGAAAUCCCUCGGCUUAACCGAGGAACUGCCGUCCAAAACUGCUUCGCUUGAGACCGGGAGAGGUGAGUGGAAUUCCCAGUGUAGCGGUGAAAUGCGUAGAUAUUGGGAGGAACACCAGUGGCGAAGGCGGCUCACUGGACCGGUACUGACGCUGAUGCGCGAAAGCGUGGGGAGCAAACGGG